rnacentral:lncRNA from 1 species
GAAUUAUUCCAUCCUUUAUCUAAGGAGGAGUCCUAUCUGAGAUAGAAUAGGCACCUAACUUGGCACCCCCAUGCACCCAUGCCUACACCCAAGAGAGGGACAGCAAAACCAGCACCCCCACCCUCUUUUUAUCGGCCAUGAAGAGAGAGAGUCCCAACAAAAUUGGAUUUUAAAGAUCUAAUCCAAAUAUGGAUCAAAAAGAAUCUAAUUCGAAUCUGAUUCGAAUCAAUUUUGAAUAGGCUGUCAAUCCUAAAUUAUUUAAGAUUUAGGAUCAAGUCUAACUUAAAAUUUUUUUAACCCA